UGUCAAUUAGGAGAUACGGAUACUCAUAAUUUUAUUCAAAUCUGAACUCGAAUAAAGUAAAUUUAUUUGAUAUUUAACGGAUAUAAUUAUGAAUACGAAUAUAAAAAAAAAACCGAGGUUUUGAAUUUGGGAUGGAUUUUGUCCGUACUCAACUCGAACCCGAACCCGAAGCCGACCCGAACGAAUUGAUUUUAUAUUAUAUAAUGUAUAUAAAAAUAUUUAAUGUUAUACUUGAAUUUAUAUUUUCAAAAAUUUAGCUUAAAUAUAAUUUGUUCUGAAAUAUGGUAAAAAGAAAUAAUAUUUUAGGUUCGGAUUUUCGGCUUUGAAUUUGAAUCUGAAUUUUGAAAAUAUGUCAAAUUCGACUUUGGGGUUUGGAUUAUGGAUUUGGUAGUUUGGUUCGGAGUUCAGAUUAUGGAUUUGGUAGUUUGGUUCAGCUUCGGAGUUUUGAAAAUUUGCUCCGAAUCUGUCCAUUGACAUCCCUAGUGCCAAUAUCUUUUUUUUUUUUGAAAGAAAGAUAACAUGCUACCCGUUUCGUUUAUUUCAUUUAGAAAUAAACUUAGCUGGAAAUGUGAAUCAACUAGGAUUCAAACUUAGGUCUUAGAUACCAACGACCAAACCUUUUUGCCACUUGCACUAUAGAGGUUCCC
rnacentral:lncRNA from 1 species